rnacentral:rRNA from 1 species
UACGGAGGGUGCAAGCGUUAUCCGGAUUCACUGGGUUUAAAGGGUGCGUAGGCGGGCUGUUAAGUCAGUGGUGAAAUCUCAAGGCUCAACCUUGAAACUGCCAUUGAUACUAUCAGUCUUGAAUCUUGUUGAGGUAGGCGGAAUAUAUCAUGUAGCGGUGAAAUGCUUAGAUAUGAUAUAGAACACCGAUUGCGAAGGCAGCUUACUAAACAAGCAUUGACGCUGAGGCACGAAAGCGUGGGGAUCAAACAGG